CUCGCGGGGUCGCUGGCCUUCCGCCGCUGUGCUGGCCGUUCGGGGGGUCCGCAGUCUACGGCCUCCGGCCGGUGGAAAAGACUGGGUGUGGCCGCCGCCCUCUCCCUCCCGAGCCACCGCCCCGCUUCCCGUCCCCGCCCUUGCCAGGGCACUUCCUUCGCGGAGCCUGGGUGACCGCGGCCCCGGCAGGAAGUGCGCUCCCGGCCGCUCGCCCGCCUCCUGCGGUAGCCGCUAGAGGCCUCCCGGUCCUGAUGGACUCCCGGUUUCCCUGGGGCCUGGCCCUCUCCGGCCAACCCCGUGUGACUGCACCGGCCCUCCCAAGUGUUGCUCCCUUUUCUCCCAGCUCCACCUCCCUAGUCCUGCCUCCUCCUUGUCCCAGGUAGGGUGAUCUAAUCCCCGAGCCUGCCUCCUUGUGCUCCAGAUGUUGAUCGCCCUCUAAAUCUCUGUGCGGGGCAUCUGCUACUUUUAACUCCAUAGAAAGGAGCCGGGAAGCACCUACCUGGAAGGAGAAGCCUGCAGUCCCCCUGGCGUCAGCUUUGGUCUGGGCUGGACCCAGACAGCCCUUGGCAAGAUGAAUACCAGCCCCAGGCCUUGGCAGUCUUUAGACUGCUCUUUUUCCUGCUCUUUAUGCAAAGGCUAGUCGCCCCAGAUUUGCAUUUCAGAGAGUUCAACUCAACCACGUGUAUGGGUGCAUCCCUGUGCCGGGCACGGUGCCAGGAGCAGACCGGCCUUGUUGCUGCUUUCAAGGAACUCACACACCAGUGUAAUAAAGGGCAAGGUGGAGGUACUCCUCUGUGUAGAGGAGAUAAUCUUAA